rnacentral:lncRNA from 1 species
GUCCUGGAUUCUGCUUUAUGGCCCUCAGUCGAAUUCUUUCUUCUGAGGAGGCAAGGACUGAAGUUGCUUCUGACCAGUACAGUUUCCCUGACUCUUAGAGCCGUGGAGCAGUGUGUGUCAUGUGCUGCACACCCAGGCUGGAACAGCCUGUCUCCAGGAGAAAACGAAUACAGCAGGGAUGACUUCCACCAGCUCCACUUUGCAGCUCUGAGGUGUAUUAAAAAUGACCUGGAAGAAGUCAUGCCACGGGCCAGACCUUAACAUUCCUUUCGGCUUACCCCAGGAUUUCAGACAAAGCUUCACUUUCCUAACCAGUCACAAAUCAGAGAAUUUUUGAUUCCACCUAUGACCUGUGAGCUCCUGCUUCAAGAUAUUCCACCUUUUUUAGGCCAAACCAAUGUAUAACCUCCAAGUGUCGAUUUACACUUUCGACUGUAACUUCUGCUUUCCUGAGAUUUACCCCUGCCUUUAAAAACCCUUGCUUGUAAUCCCUCAGGGAGGCCGUGUAUUUAUUAAUCAUGAGCUGCCCAAUUCUCCUUGCUUGGUGCCCUGCAAAUAAACACC